AGGAAUCGAAACGACGCUGAAAAUUCGGGUUUUUACAUUUGCUUAAUCCUCCCGACGCCAUCACCAGCAGCGAGCUAUUGCUCAGUUCCGGGCGGCGGCGGCUCUCUCUCUAUCUCUCUCUCCGGCGUCGCAGAUUCGGCACCGCCGGUGAGGUUGAAGCCGAAUUCAGCAGCAGGAGAGAAGGUCGGAAGGGCGAGAGGAUGUCGUUCAUGAAGGGAGAUCUGCUCACCAGAACGACGAAGCUCGUCAAGGGAUUGGCCAAGGCGGAGCCUGUUUGGCUCAAGGCCAUGCAGCAGGCGCCACCUGCAGUUUUCCCUCGUGCCGAUGAAAUCAAGAAGAUCACUCUCCCUGAGGAUGUUUACGUUAAAAAGUUUUUCCAGAAAUAUCCGGACUCAAAACAUGAGGAUGCAAUCAAGAUAUGUGGUUUCGACCCCCUCCAGCCCGUGUUUUCGGUCAACGAGUCCUUGAGUUGAAGGAAACAGGAGUUAGUGAGGAAGAGGCUAUGGCCGUGGCAGAUAUGGAAUACCGACUAGAGAAGAAGGCAAAGAAGCAGGCAUAUGUUCAGCUGAAGAAGAUUGCGAAGCUCCAAGGCAAGAGGCCUCCUCCUAAUCCUUACCCAAGUGCUAUCAAAGAGAUACAAGCAGAAGAGAGAAAGUAUGUUUGGGAUCGUUUCCAUAAUCCCGAAAUUCGCAAAAUAAUCCAGAAGAUGAAAGAAGAGAAGGCAGCUGAAGCUCAGUACAGAAUGGGAGGAGGUGGCUACUAGAGUUUGAAGUGGUUCAAAGUGAAGAGUUCUUGGCUUGCUUUUGGAGCCUCACAGCAUAAUGACAUUGCCGUUGCAUCUCAAUAAGAGAGAAAAGGUUCUCUUUGAAGAUCUUUUUGUCAUAGUCAUGCUUAUACCACUCUACCUAUACAUGAAAGGAUGUGCUAUGAUGGGAUUGGAUUUAAGAACGAAACCGGAUAGAAUUAUUAGGAUUUGGUUGAGGAACUGUUUUGAAUUAGAUAGCCUUCUCUAUUAUUUGAAUCCCAUCUCCGCCGUUGCCGCUAUUGGAAGAAAUGAUUCGGCUUUCACGGCAUUGAUCGGAAUGAUGCCACGAGCACUUUAAGCCA